GACAGAGGAUGCAAGCGUUAUCCGGAAUGAUUGGGCGUAAAGCGUCUGUAGGUGGCUUUUUAAGUCCGCCGUCAAAUCCCAGGGCUCAACCCUGGACAGGCGGUGGAAACUACCCAAGCUGGAGUACGGUAGGGGCAGAGGGAAUUUCCGGUGGAGCGGUGAAAUGCGUAGAUAUCGAGAGGAACACCAGUGGCGAAGGCGAGUCCCUGGACACUUCCUGACACUGAGGCACGAAAGCUAGGGGAGCAAACAGG
rnacentral:rRNA from 1 species